GGCCGCCUGGCGAAAUGGCAUCGCGUCUGACUACGAUUCAAAGCUGAUAUUUCAGUUCCUAAAUCAGGAGAUUGCAGGUUCGACCCCUGCGGUGGUCA